rnacentral:rRNA from 1 species
UCCCCCAACUCCAGUUGAUCCUGCUGGAGGCCACUGCUAUCUGGCUGGGACAGACAUGCAAGUCUGGGAGGUUGGCUGGAACCUCCCGGCGCACGGCUCAGUAACACGUAGACAACCUGCCCUCAGGAGGGGGAUAACCUCGGGAAACUGAGGCUAAUACCCCAUAGGGGAUGGGUACUGGAACGUCCUAUCCCCGAAAGGGGCGGGAAGCCAUGCUCUUCCCGUCCGCCUGAGGAUGGGUCUGCGGCCUAUCAGGUAGUUGGUGGGGUAACGGCCCACCAAGCCUAAGACGGGUACGGGCCAUGAGAGUGGAAGCCCGGAGAGGGGCACUGAGACAAGGGCCCCAGCCCUACGGGGUGCAGCAGUCGCGAAACUUCCCCAAUGCGCGCAAGCGUGAGGGAGCCAGCCAGAGUGCCCUACCUCUGGUAGGGCUUUUGGGGAGUCCAAACAGCUCCCCGAAUAAGGGGUGGGCAAGACCGGUGCCAGCAGCCGCGGUAAUCCCGGCGCCCCGAGUGGUGGCCACGAUUAUUGGGCCUAAAGCGUCCGUAGCCGGGCCAUUAAGUCCCCUGUGAAAUCCUACCUCUCAAGGGUAGGGCGUGCGGGGGAUACUGGUGGCCUAGGGACCGGGAGGGGCCGAGGGUAUUCCCGGGGUAGGGGUAAAAUCCUGUAAUCCCGGGAGGACCGCCGGUGGCGAAGGCGCUCGGCUGGAACGGGUCCGACGGUGAGGGACGAAAGCCAGGGGAGCGAACCGGAUUAGAUACCCGGGUAGUCCUGGCUGUAAACGCUGCCCGCUAGGUGUUGCAUGUCCUUAGGGGGCAUGCAGUGCCGAAGCGAAGGCGUUAAGCGGGCCGCCUGGGGAGUACGGUCGCAAGGCUGAAACUUAAAGGAAUUGGCGGGGGAGCACAACAAGGGGUGAAGCCUGCGGUUCAAUUGGAUUCGACCCCGGGAAACUCACCAGGGGCGACAGCAGGAUGAAGGCCAGUCUGAAGGGCUUGCCGGACGCGCUGAGCGGAGGUGCAUGGCCAUCGUCAGCUCGUGCCGUGAGGUGUCCAGUUAAGUCUGGCAACGAGCGAGACCCUCACCCCCUGUUGCUACCCGUUCCUCCGGGAGCGGGGCACUCAGGGGGGACCGCCUCCGUAAGGGGGAGGAAGGUGAGGGCGACGAUAGGUCAGUAUGCCCCUAAUCCCCUGGGCUACACGCGGGCUGCAAUGGCCGGGACAAAGGGAUGCGACCCCGAAAGGGGAAGCAAAUCCCCUAAACCCGGUCUUAGUCCGGAUCGAGGGCUGCAACCCGCCCUCGUGAAGCCGGAAUCCCUAGUAACCGUGGAUCAAAAUGCCGAUGAAGACAUCGGGCUUCAGAGUAGUGAAGAAGCCAUGCACAACUGAGUGCUUGAAGAUCCACGGUGAAUACGUCCCUGCUCCUUGCACACACCGCCCGUCAAGCCACCCGAGUCGGGUUCGGAUGAGGCCUCAUCCUGUGGGUGAGGUCGAAUCUGGGCUCGGCGAGGUGGGUUAAGUCGUCACAAGGUAUCCGUAGGGGAACCUGCGGAUGGAUCACCUCCUU